ensembl:lncRNA GAR1-DT GAR1 divergent transcript
ACGACGUCCCGGAAGUGCUGCGGCAAUGUUGCUCUUGGAGAUAGCUGGCGUUAGGGAUCCGCCUUCUCUCCCAGAGGCGGGGCAGGUUUCUGUUUGGUUGCCGCCCUAACGGCCAGAACUAAAGCACCUUGCAAGGAAUGAAGUUGGUUCUUGAAGUCCGUGCUGACUGGCUGGGCGCAUUUGCGCAUUUGCUUCUCUGGCUGCAAAAUGGCCCGCAACAGCACUCACUAAUUUGUUGCUAACUUCAGGAACUGUGCGGACAGGUCUCUGAGGCUUCUGAGCCGCGCUAUGUCCAGUAGAUCUGGGCGCCUCAGAACCUGUCACAGCCGACGGAAGCGUUUAUCUGAGUUUCUUGUUUCUUCCCAACCUUUUGAUUUUCGCACCAUUACGCGCUCAACUAUGCCUCUUCUUUUGUCCUAUGGUCUCAACUAAUUAAAGGAAGAAAAGCAAUGCAUGUGUGUGUGUAAUUUUAAAGAAACUAUGCUGUCUUAUAGAAAACCAAACCAUCAUUUUUAUCUUUUGUACCAGGUAUUCAAGUAUGUUUUGAGCACCGACGGGCUGUGAACUGGACUGUGCUGAAAGCUCCUCUCCCUCUUCUCUCUUUAAGCCCUUUAUAUUUGACAUCAGCUUCCCCCACAUUCUCCAAAGCUUCUCUCACAAAUAAAGCCAGGUGCUCAGGCUGAGAAGAUUCAAGGAAAGGGUUCCUCACGUAGUUAUACAGUUGUGUUCCAGGGGAAGGAAAAUAUUGUUCGGUUUUGUUCUGCAAUUCCCCACGGUGGUUUUCGAGACCUCACCAGAAACUGAUGCCAGCACCAUGCUUCCUGUAAAGCCUCCAGAACCAUAAGCCAAUUAAACCUCUUUCUUUAUAAAUUA